UUUUGGGCAAUGGGCGAAAGCCUGACCCAGCAACGCCGCGUGAGGGAUGAAGUAUUUCGGUAUGUACACCUCGAAAGAAUGGGAAGAAUAAAUGACGGUACCAUUUAUAAGCUCCGGCUAACUACGUGCCAGCAGCCGCGGUAAUACGUAGGGAGCAAGCGUUGUUCGGAUUUACUGGGCGUAAAGGGCGCGUAGGCGGCGCGGUAAGGCACUUGUGAAAUCUCUGAGCUUAACUCAGAACGGCCAAGUGAUACUGCUGUGCUAGAGUGCGGAAGAGGCAACCGGAAUUCUUGGUGUAGCGGUGAAAUGCGUAGAUAGCAAGAGGAACACCUGAGGCGAAGGCGGGUUGCUGGGCCGACACUGACGCUGAUGCGCGAAAGCCAGGGGAUCAAACG
rnacentral:rRNA from 1 species